rnacentral:rRNA from 1 species
GUUGGGUAGGGGAGCGUUCUGUAAGCCUGUGAAGGUGGCCUGUGAGGGUUGCUGGAGGUAUCAGAAGUGCGAAUGCUGACAUAAGUAACGAUAAAGCGGGUGAAAAGCCCGCUCGCCGGAAGACCAAGGGUUCCUGUCCAACGUUAAUCGGGGCAGGGUGAGUCGACCCCUAAGGCGAGGCCGAAAGGCGUAGUCGAUGGGAAACGGGUUAAUAUUCCCGUACUUGGUGUUACUGCGAAGGGGGGACGGAGAAGGCUAUGUUGGCCGGGCGACGGUUGUCCCGGUUUAAGCGUGUAGGCUGGUUUUCCAGGCAAAUCCGGUUCACUUUAAAACUGAGGCGUGACGACGAGGCACUACGGUGCUGAAGCAACAAAUGCCCUGCUUCCAGGAAAAGCCUCUAAGCAUCAGGUAACACGAAAUCGUACCCCAAACCGACACAGGUGGUCAGGUAGAGAAUACCAAGGCGCUUGAGAGAACUCGGGUGAAGGAACUAGGCAAAAUGGUGCCGUAACUUCGGGAGAAGGCACGCUGACACGUAGGUGAAGUGAUUUACUCACGGAGCUGAAGUCAGUCGAAGAUACCAGCUGGCUGCAACUGUUUAUUAAAAACACAGCACUGUGCAAACACGAAAGUGGACGUAUACGGUGUGACGCCUGCCCGGUGCCGGAAGGUUAAUUGAUGGGGUCAGCGCAAGCGAAGCUCCUGAUCGAAGCCCCGGUAAACGGCGGCCGUAACUAUAACGGUCCUAAGGUAGCGAAAUUCCUUGUCGGGUAAGUUCCGACCUGCACGAAUGGCGUAAUGAUGGCCAGGCUGUCUCCACCCGAGACUCAGUGAAAUUGAACUCGCUGUGAAGAUGCAGUGUACCCGCGGCAAGACGGAAAGACCCCGUGAACCUUUACUAUAGCUUGACACUGAACAUUGAGCCUUGAUGUGUAGGAUAGGUGGGAGGCUUUGAAGUGUGGACGCCAGUCUGCAUGGAGCCGACCUUGAAAUACCACCCUUUAAUGUUUGAUGUUCUAACGUGGACCCGUAAUCCGGGUUGCGGACAGUGUCUGGUGGGUAGUUUGACUGGGGCGGUCUCCUCCUAAAGAGUAACGGAGGAGCACGAAGGUUGGCUAAUCCUGGUCGGACAUCAGGAGGUUAGUGCAAUGGCAUAAGCCAGCUUGACUGCGAGCGUGACGGCGCGAGCAGGUGCGAAAGCAGGUCAUAGUGAUCCGGUGGUUCUGAAUGGAAGGGCCAUCGCUCAACGGAUAAAAGGUACUCCGGGGAUAACAGGCUGAUACCGCCCAAGAGUUCAUAUCGACGGCGGUGUUUGGCACCUCGAUGUCGGCUCAUCACAUCCUGGGGCUGAAGUAGGUCCCAAGGGUAUGGCUGUUCGCCAUUUAAAGUGGUACGCGAGCUGGGUUUAGAACGUCGUGAGACAGUUCGGUCCCUAUCUGCCGUGGGCGCUGGAGAACUGAGGGGGGCUGCUCCUAGUACGAGAGGACCGGAGUGGACGCAUCACUGGUGUUCGGGUUGUCAUGCCAAUGGCACUGCCCGGUAGCUAAAUGCGGAAGAGAUAAGUGCUGAAAGCAUCUAAGCACGAAACUUGCCCCGAGAUGAGUUCUCCCUGAGACUUAGAGUCUCCUGAAGGAACGUUGAAGACGACGACGUUGAUAGGCCGGGUGUGUAAGCGCAGCGAUGCGUUGAGCUAACCGGUACUAAUGAACCGUGAGGCUUAACCUUACAACGCCGAAG